CCCUCUAUUAUAUCACAAAACUGGACUUGUAUGCUACUUGUAGAAACUAGGAGCUGCAUCUUCAACCUUCCUCAAAUUCCUACUCAGAAAUGUCGACCCCUCUAAGAAUCACCAUUUUCUUUUUCAUUUUAAAUGCCUUAAAUCCGUUUGUCCUUUUCGUGGAUCCCUUCUACUGUUCGUCGUUCCACUUUUCCACGUCCGUCCGUCCUAUCCGUGUUCUUCGAGCUGCAUCUUGGAAGUUUCUUCCACGGUUCGUUCGUUCUUUACCUUCCGAUCACCAUGCCGCAGCUCACUACGUCCCCACCGCCACAGCCGCCCGCCUCCGCCCACCUCCACACGCUGGACCCUAUUAAUCCCGACUACAACCACCAUCGCCCCAACUGAAUGACUCUGGUAAUAGUAACAUCGGUGCUGCUCACCUUGAUGAUCAUGUCGGUGGCAGUUUAUGUUAUUUGCAAAAUCAUCCUGAAGAAUCUUGUCACACCCGUACCACCACCAGCAGCAGCAGCAGCAGAUGCGGCAGCAGAAGCCCCAGAAGUACAAUUGCCAGGAGGAGCUCGUCCAUGAGGAACUUCCUUCACCUUCCGACGAUGAGGACUGAAAGAUGGUUACUAACAACGGGAGACGGGAAAGAGUAGCUGCGUUCUUAUACAACAAAAAAAAAAUUGAUUCUUAUGGAAUUGUUAGAUUAUAUUGUUUGUUUUGGACUCUCUAGUUUGCAAAAUAGUAUGUGAAUAAUUGAGUAAUACCAAUAAAGUGACAUCAAUCUAGAUAUAUGAUUUUAGGUCUUCAUAUGGAUUGAAGCAUUUUCUUUUCUUUCAACAAUGAAAUUAAUAUCAAUAUUUGAAUUGAAUUUUGUA